rnacentral:tRNA from 11 species
CAUUAGAUGACUGAAAAG